rnacentral:rRNA from 1 species
AUUGAACGCUGGCGGCAGGCCUAACACAUGCAAGUCGAGCGGUAGAGAGGAGCUUGCUUCUCUUGAGAGCGGCGGACGGGUGAGUAAUGCCUAGGAAUCUGCCUGGUAGUGGGGGAUAACGUUCGGAAACGGACGCUAAUACCGCAUACGUCCUACGGGAGAAAGUGGGGGACCUUCGGACCUCACGCUAUCAGAUGAGCCUAGGUCGGAUUAGCUAGUUGGUGAGGUAAAGGCUCACCAAGGCGACGAUCCGUAACUGGUCUGAGAGGAUGAUCAGUCACACUGGAACUGAGACACGGUCCAGACUCCUACGGGAGGCAGCAUUGGGGAAUAUUGGACAAUGGGCGCAAGCCUGAUCCAGCCAUGCCGCGUGUGUGAAGAAGGUCUUCGGAUUGUAAAGCACUUUAAGUUGGGAGGAAGGUCAGUAGCUUAAUGCGUUGCUGAUUUGACGUUACCGACAGAAUAAGCACCGGCUAACUCUGUGCCAGCCGCCGCCGUAACAC